rnacentral:rRNA from 1 species
AGUGAACGCUGGCGGCGUGCCUAAUACAUGCAAGUCGAACGGAGAUUCAGUAGCUUGCUAUUUAAUCUUAGUGGCGCACGGGUGAGUAAUAUAUAGCUAACUUGCCCAUUACUAAGGGACAACAGUUGGAAACGACUGCUAAUACCUUAUACUCCGUAUCUAUAUAAGUAGAUACGGGAAAGUUUUUCGGUAAUGGAUAGGGCUAUAUCGUAUCAGCUAGUUGGUAAGGUAAUGGCUUACCAAGGCUAUGACGCGUAACUGGUCUGAGAGGAUGAUCAGUCAAACUGGAACUGAGACACGGUCCAGACUCCUACGGGAGGCAGCAGUAGGGAAUAUUGCUCAAUGGGGGAAACCCUGAAGCAGCAACGCCGCGUGGAGGAUGACACUUUUCGGAGCGUAAACUCCUUUUCUUGGGAAAGAAUUAUGACGGUACCCAAGGAAUAAGCACCGGCUAACUCCGUG